UACGAAGGGUGCAAGCGUUAAUCGGAAUUACUGGGCGUAAAGGGUGCGUAGGCGGUUGUUUAAGUCUGUCGUGAAAUCCCCGGGCUCAACCUGGGAAUGGCGAUGGAUACUGGGCAGCUAGAGUGUGUCAGAGGAUGGUGGAAUUCCCGGUGUAGCGGUGAAAUGCGUAGAGAUCGGGAGGAACAUCAGUGGCGAAGGCGGCCCCCUGGGUCAAGAUUGACGCUCAUGCACGAAAGCGUGGGGAGCAAACAGG
rnacentral:rRNA from 1 species